rnacentral:rRNA from 1 species
GAAUUGUUCACAAUGGGCGCAAGCCUGAUGACGCAACGCCGCGUGGAGGAUGAAGGUCUUCGGAUUGUAAACUCCUGUUGCCCGGGACGAACGGCUUCGACCUAACACGUCGACGAUUGACGGUACCGGGUGAGGAAGCCCCGGCUAACUCUGUGCCAGCAGCCGCGGUAACACAGAGGGGGCAAGCGUUGUUCGGAAUUACUGGGCGUAAAGGGCGCGUAGGUGGCCUUCUAAGUCGAACGUGAAAUCCCCGGGCUCAACCCGGGAACUGCGUCCGAUACUGGAAGGCUUGAAUCCGGGAGAGGGAUGCGGAAUUCCAGGUGUAGCGGUGAAAUGCGUAGAUAUCUGGAGGAACACCGGUGGCGAAGGCGGCAUCCUGGACCGGUAUUGACACUGAGGCGCGAAAGCCAGGGGAGCAAACGGG